rnacentral:lncRNA from 1 species
UAUUGAAGAAGCUGUGUUUUUCCCAGUGCCAGCUCUUUGCUGGCAGGUCCAGGAGAGAUGAGAGAGAGGGCCCGACCGACCCAGUCUCUCUGAGGCUGAGCAGGAUGGUGAGUGUCAACGGCCCAAAAGAAACACACCGAGCCAGGAGUUUUGUCGAAGCAGGAACUCGACUUUAUGGCAUCAGUCUCUUGAUUAUGAGAGGGAUUUUUGGUGAGGCAACUUUCCAGCACCACCCCAGCUGGAUCAUCCAGUGUCUGAGCUGCCCAGCGGCAGGGCCUGCUCUCCAGCUCUCACCAGUUUACAAGUUCUGAGAUGAUAAGUGAACCACCAUGCCCACUUGGUAUAUAUGUGGAUGCUAGGGUUUUGAAGUAAGCUGCUCAUCCAUGGAUUCAUCACCCCAGGCCUCCAUGAUGUUUUUGUAUUGUGAAGUUGCUGCUGUGCCUGCUCUACAUUACCAUCAUUAUCUGGAUAAUCCUUUAAUACCUGAUUUGCUCAUUACUUUCAUCAGAAAAGGACCAAACAGAGGGAUCUUGAUUUGGUCACUAGACCCAUGUAGCUGAGUUUUCCAGAAACUGAACGCUAACUCUGAAGUAAGAACAACAUGAGUGGCAGGGUUGAUGGAUGAAAAUCAAGUUUUGCAUCAGGGAUUUUCAGACGAGCUUUGCAUUUAGAAGAGAUUGGAGCACAAUUAAUUUAAAAACAGCCGAAGCAGUACAACAGAAAUGACACAGCAAGCUUUCCAGGACACACUCAGGAAGUAAGAGAAAAAGAACAGGGGUUAACUAAAGGGCACUGAACAAGUAAAGCUGUGCUGAAAAGAACAGUGGCCAAGGCAGGGAUAUUCUUAUACCACAAACAGUCAUGCAGAUGGAAGUCUGGCCAACAAAACCAUAAAGCAUCAUGUCUCACUGUGACUCAAUCUGUCAGCUCAAGUACAAGCCUUGAGUACACAAGUUCUUCUGCAUUCCCAAAUGCUUCCUUCUUUUGUCUCCAGUUAAAGACAUUUACCACUUUCUGGGAAGGAUUUCAACUUCAACUUUUCAUGAAAUACGAUGAGAGAUCGACUCAUGAUGGACUCAUCAGAAAUAAUUGGAGGUGGGAGGGAACAAUGUCAUCACUGACAGACUGUGCAACAACAAUUACUUGGAGCAACAGAGAGCAACGGGACAGCAGAGACCAUAUCUCCAACCAUUGAUUGUCCUUCAGGUAAACCAGGAAGUAAGAGUAACUGGACCACUGCCCCUACCUCAUAGUAGUUGGAAAGGGAAAAAUUGUACUUACCAUAUAGAGAAAAAUUUGAAAUCUUGGUAGCUUAAGUGAUCAUUUCACUCAGUAAUUCGAGUGCCUGUUGAGAUGUGUGUACAAGCUCAGACAGUCUUCCUGGGCUGCGCCAGACUACUAAAAAGCCGAUGAAGCACAUUCUUUAUUCUGCUACAAAACAAAUGUGAAAAUGUCUUGAUGAAAGCUCAGCUGCUUUGCAAAUGUACAAUGAAGGCAAAUUUAACUGUCUGGGAUUGAACGAAGCCACAGUGAAAUGAUGAGAGUGGUUGCAGGAUUUUAGGAAUUUUUGUAUUUGGAUAAAUGAGAAGAUCAACCUGUCCUGUGUUCCCCGCGUGGCUACUGUGGGCUUUGAAGAAGUUAAUGUAGAGAAAGCCUGCUCUUAUGGUGUCUCGUUUUGUUAUCAAUGAAGACUGCAUCUGGACUAGGGAUGGAGGCAGGUGUCCACUUACCUUUUCAGCUCUAGGACCCUUUCUGGUACAGAAACAAAACAUAUUGCCUCAAGUUUCCAGGAGUUCACAUAUGUAUUAAUUCUGAUGAAUUAAAGAACAUAAUUUUUGGGGUGUCCUCCAGCCCUUCUGAACUUUAUGAUUGGAAAAAUGAUUUAUAGUAGCUCAAAACUUGAACGGAAACAAAAGAUUGCUCUGCUGUGUUAUAAACAAGAUUGUGUAAGCAGUCUAAUAAAAUGGGAAAUAAAUUGG